GACCUCAGAUCAGGCAAGGCUACCCGCUGUAUUUAAGCAUAUUAAUAAGCGGAGGAAAAGAAACUAACNANGAUCCCCUAGUAAUGGCGAAUGAAGCGGA
rnacentral:rRNA from 1 species